AUCAGAAUGUACAUUUUGGUCCUUUUGUAGAUGAUGAAUUUACUCUCUCUCUCUCUCUUGAAUAUUUUUAUUCAUUACAAUCCUUUUUCCCCCUGCACGAUGAGCAAAGGAGCUUUUGUUUAAUUGAUGACACAAAUAAUCUGGUGCCAUUUACUUGGUUAAAGUUUUUUGUAGUGAGGCUAAUCAUGCUUGCAUUGUUUUAGGUUCGUCGCCUGAAAGAAUUUGGGGUUACCAAGGGAGAAUUGACUCACUAUUUGGAUGCACUUUUGAAAGAUAGUGAACAUCUAGCAGCUAUGAUUGAUAAUGUGUCAUCCGUAGAUAAUUUGGAUUUCAUUAUGGAGAGUGACGCAUUGGGCCAUACAGUAAUGGACCAGAGGCAAGGACAUGAGAGUUUGGUCACUGUUGCUGGAACAAUUAAACUUGAGGAGGUCUAUAUUGAGAUGCAUUUCUUUAGCGCAAUACUAGACAACAAAGAUAGUUGAAGCUUUUAGAAUCAAAAUUAUAUUUCACUAACUUUGUAUACAUUUCUUGUUUAAUAUUUGGUGAUGAUAGAAUUUGACUAUAGUAUAAACUAUCAUGUAAUAUGAUUUUGUAAGUCGAGAAGACUAAAUACUGGAAUGAUAUUUUUGAGUAAUUAAUAAAAAAUUAUUUUGUUGUA